GCCGCAGGGCCCGACAGGGAGCCCGGGCUGAAGCCUCUGCAGAGAGGGCCCCUAGCCUCCCAUUCCAGGACCCUCCUCCAGGCCCCCUCCCGGAGGCGCGCUCCGCUCCAGCUCCGCCCCGCCCCCAGGGGGAGCUCGCGCCCUGGCCUCGGAGCCAGCCGCGUGCGGGCGGGAGUGCGCGGGUUUCCUACGGAGGUGGAAGCUGUGUGUGAGCUGCGCCCCGCAGCCCGCUCUCCCGCUCCAUUCUUCCCGCAGCCCCCCCUGCUCCAACCAGGUGACUGGGGGCUCAGCGGACCCGCCCUGCCGCCCGGAAUGGAGCGGGUCCCCAUGGAGCCCAAACUCCCUGCUCCACCUCUCUUCCCGCUGCCGCCGCCAAGCCGCUCCGAGCCCGAGGGAGAUGGCAACCCCCAUCCUUGUGCACGCCGUUGGACAGACUCCGCGCCGGAGCCCCGUCUGCCCUGGGCUGCCAGAGGUCUCCACAUCCUCCUCCUCCCUACUCUACCUGAGCUUCUUCCUCAUCUGCGGGACCCUGUGCCAAGGAACCUACCCAAAUCCAGGGAUUGGGUUGGUGUCGGAUGGGGUGAAUGUCCUGGCGACUUUGAGACAGUCCUACCUGCAAGGUAAAGGAGUUAGGAAAUCAUACUGGUAAGUACCCUGGGCCAGUGCAGAGCAGGCUUCUGCUCUGGGAAGCAGAUGAAGGGCUUGGAGUUGCUGUUAGAGCACAUGUCCACCAGACGGCGCCAGAGCAGCAGCAGAGCCCCCACCCCACAGCUCCCUGGCUGCACCUUCAGCCACAAAUAUGAGGUUGGAGAUGGGUUGGUGGAAGCCAGAAGAGGUGCCCAGAGCUGGGGCUUGGCUGCAGGGCACCUCUAACUCUGGACAAGUUGCCUCAUCUUGGGGGAGGGGACAUGGUUCUGCCAUCACAUCUAAGGCUCACUUCCUGCAUGGUCUGGUGGCCCAGGGGCUAGAGAGUUUGACAGGCUGCCUUGGCUCUGAGUCUCCUUUGAUUGUUUGGAGGCAGAUUUCUGUACCCAGAAACACUUAGCUUGAAUCUUGGACGUCCAUUUUUCUGAAAUGAGGCUGACCUCACCUCCUGUCUUUUAGUGUAUUCAGUGCUCUGAGAGGCCAAGGAGGAGGAAAAUCAUGCUGGUUUGUGCCCAAGAUCAGUCCUGGAUUUAUAAGUUCUGGAGUUCCUCUUGUGGCUCAGUGGGUUAAGAACCUUACUUGUAUCCAUGAGGAUGCAGGUUCAAUUCCUGACCGCUUAGUGGGUUAAGGAUCCAGCAUUGCCAUGAGCUGUGGUGUAGGUUGCAGAUGUGGCUCAGAUCUGGCGUUGCUGUGGCUGUGGUGUAGGCUGGCAGCUGCAGCUCUGAUUUGACUCCUGGCCUGGGAUCCUCCAUAUGCUGUGAAUGCAGCCCUAAGAAGACCAAAAACUUACAAGUCUAGUUGUCAAUGCAUUUGUUUCUGGGUCCAAAGAUCUGCCUCUGUUGAAACAAAGGGCACACUGACCCAAGGAACUUUCCACACUCUGGCACCUGGCACACCCAAUCAGGCUGGACAUGCCCAUCAGAUGCUGAAGGCACAGCUGUGUCCCCUCCCUGAGGUGAGGCACUUUGGUGAGAGUAUGAGAGGUACCCUGUAACCAACCCCAGACCUAUGAGCAUGCACCGAGUGUUCCAACAGUCCUACUUUAACUCCAUCGCUGAGACUGUUCUUGCAACCAGGCAGCUGCAGGUGGGCUCCGCCUGUGCUCUUGUGCUACCCGGCGACCCCGCUCUCUGAUCAUGAACUCUCAGCCCUUCCUGCUGUUUCCAUCAUCUGCCUCUGAACCCACCCUGGCUUGGGCGCUGGCAGCUUGAUUUCAUUUCUCUCAGCCACUAAGCGGAAUGAAUGCCCUCAACACUGGGGUAUAUCUCUCUCUCAGUCUCCCAGAGCACUCACCCCAACCUACCCCCCCCACAGUACAUCAAAACCCUCCCCACCCACUGUGUCCUGAGCUCCUUCUUGAAAUCAGUCACACUGUCCUCACUCAUAUGACCUUCCUUUGGGUCUGCUCCCUGAAACAGCAGUCACAGCAACUAGAGGUUCAGAUGGAAGGGGAAGAAUUAACUUUGGGGAGAACUCUUGAAAGGUAAAGUACAGGGAUUCCUGUCUGCCCUUCAAAACAGCGCAAUGUGGAGUUCCCAUCAUGGCUCAGUGGAAAUGAAUCUACCAUCCAUGAGGACGCAGGUUUGAUCCCUGGCCUCACUCAGUGGGUUAAGGAUCCAGCGUUGCCAUGAGCUGUGGUGUAGGCUGGCGACUGCAGCUCCAAUUUGACCCCCAGCCUGGGAACCUCCAUAUGCCGAGGGUGCAGCCCUAAAAGAACAAACAGGAAUUCAAGUCGUGGCUCAGUGGUUAACAAAUCCGACUAGGAACCAUGAGGUUGCGAGUUCGAUCCCUGCCCUUGCUCAGUGGGUUAAGGAU
rnacentral:lncRNA from 1 species